UCUCUACCUUAGGUAGUAUUCUCAGCUUGGUGAUGCACAGCCCGUGGGGAUUGGGAGAGACUGAGAACAAAAAAAAAAUACAUCCCAUCUGACAAGAUGUGAGACUCGAGAAGUAAACAGAGGUCUUACGAAUGAAGAACUUUGCAUGUUCUUGGAAGGAACUUGAACUACAUGAAGAUUUUUCCCCAGAGGUGGGGAAAAGAGGUAACCCCACUUCAUAUCAUCAGCACUAUUUUUGUGGGCCUUUGUUCUGAAGGGACUAUUUUAUAGCCUUCAGGUAUUGGGUGUUUGGUAUGAGAGAUAAAAAGUUAUAAGCAGGGAACUUACAUGAUGUUUAGUUUUUGAAAAAUCUUGCUAUUGGUAGUGGUGGAGAAGGCUGAGGACAUGACAAAUGGGGACAAAAAGACAAGUUUGGGAGCAGUUGGAGAGCCUGAAGAAAAGUGAGGUGUUGUGGAUGACAGAGCAAAUGCCAAGAUUCAAGAGGUAUCUAGAAGGCAAAAUCAAUAGAGUUUAGUGAUGAUAAGAGGUAGAAGGUAGAGUUCCUAUGUUCUGCGUUAAUGUAGAUCCUUGUAUUUCCAACACUGAAUUCACAUCUCACUGGGUUAACAUUUCUUAUUAAAGUCUUCUGUGCCACUCCAUGAAGGCUGAAACACACAGUGCCUGAUAGACACAGGUGAUUGGCUGAAUGGACCAACAAAUGAAUGACAUAAAGAAUGACUCACAUUCAUGGCCUGAAAGACUGUUGGUUAGGGUAGCUACCAUCUAAGAGAGGAAGCAAAGGAGGAAAAGAAGUUUUGAGUCCUAAACUGCAGUUUUGUUUUCAUCACAUUGGGUUUGAGGUGUCUCUAGGAUCUUGAGGGAAGAUAUUUAGCUGCAACUCAAGCCCAGGGGAGGAUUUUAGUCUGGUAAGACAGAUUAGGCCGCUGUCAGUGAAUAGGUGGACAUUCAUAGCACAGGUGUGGGUAGGACAAAUAUAGAGAAUGAAGAAAAGGAGAUGAAAGACACACAAGUUAUUUCUAACAGAAAGCUAGUAGCUUUGGGUUUUCUUACUGCUUUUAUUGUUUAUUGAAAUCUAUGUACAAUACCAUGAAAUUCACUAAGUGAUUUUUAGUAACUUCACAAGGUUGUACCGUCCUUAUCAUUGGUUGUCUAACUCCAGAACAUUUCCAUCAUCCUCAAAAGAAAUCUCAUGCCCCAUUUACAGUCACACUCCAUUCCCUCUUUCCACUGCCCCUUGACAACCACAAAUUAUCUUUCUGAGUCUAUGGAUUUGCCUCUUCUAGAUACUUCUUAUAGAUGGAAUAAUACUACAUACAAUGUGACUUUUGUGUCUUACUUUUUCCACCCAGCAUGAUGUUUCAAGAUCCACCUAUAUUAUAGGAUGUCUCAGUACUGUAUUCAGAAGGCUGGUGUUCAAAAAGUUUUUGUUUUGUUUUCAAGAUGAGGUCUACAGGUACUUCCAAGGCUGGUCUCAAAUUCCUGGGCUUGAGUGAUCCUCCACCUCCGCCUCAGGAGUACUUGGGACUAAAGGCAUGCAUCUCCACACCUUGCUGGUGUUUAAUCUUUAGCAAAGUUUUUUGCAUUCUCAUCCUAGACUUAGGAGACUCUCCCAGACCUUUGAGUAUGUCUCAAAUUCCUGGGCUUGAGUGAUCCUCCACCUCCGCCUCAGGAGUACUUGGGACUAAAGGCAUGCAUCUCCACACCUUGCUGGUGUUUAAUCUUUAGCAAAGUUUUUUGCAUUCUCAUCCUAGACUUAGGAGACUCUCCCAGGCCUUUGAGUAUGUCUCUCAGAGUCCAAAAGAUGGGUGCCUUCAUCAACUCAUAGAAUUUGGAAAACCUUUAUGUCAAAAAAAGCUAUAGAAAAUAUCUUCAGCUAUUUCCUGGAGGUGCCCUUGAACAGUCUAAACCUCCAGGAAUCUCUUUGCUCUGACUCCUAGGGCACUCACUCUGUGAUCUACAUGAUUACAUUCCAGGUUCUGUAAAAUCUCCAUCUUACUCCUCUGUCAUUGAAAAUUCCUGGUAAGGUAAGGGGAAUCUAUCUCAUGUUGUAUUUUUC
rnacentral:lncRNA from 1 species